rnacentral:ncRNA from 1 species
UUAGCUUUUUUAGAUAGGUUUGUAUUCAUCAAGAUGGAUGCAAACGACCUACGUUUUGUAUCUAUCUAUGAUGGCUAAAGAGUUUUGACGUACCACCAGCCACGUAGAAGUAAUCGAAGUGGCUGAAGAAUUCUAUUCUCGUAUUCCCAUCAUCCACUUAGUUUACUGAGUGGAUGAUUUUUUUAUGGAA